rnacentral:rRNA from 1 species
UCGUCCCUACGGGGGGCAGCAGUGGGGAAUAUUGCACAAUGGGGGAAACCCUGAUGCAGCGACGCCGCGUGAAGGAAGAAGUAUUUCGGUAUGUAAACUUCUAUCAGCAGGGAAGAAAAUGACGGUACCUGAGUAAGAAGCACCGGCUAAAUACGUGCCAGCAGCCGCGGUAAUACGUAUGGUGCAAGCGUUAUCCGGAUUUACUGGGUGUAAAGGGAGCGCAGGCGGUGCGGCAAGUCUGAUGUGAAAGCCCGGGGCUCAACCCCGGGACUGCAUUGGAAACUACCGAACUAGAGGGUCGGAGG